AAAUUGUUCUCCAUGAGGCAAGAGGAAGAUUUUGUUCUUUCUGGGAUAGGAGGAACAAGGAGGAAGAGAGGGCAGUGGAUACGGGGAUAUGGGAGAAGACACUGAGCAUCGUCAUGUCACCCCUUCCUGUGACCGGACCGUCCCCCAACCUUCAGCAAAGCUUCUCUACUAACAGCAUGCAUUCUGAAAAAGUUUGCUGAAUCCCAAUUUAUACAUUGGAAUGAAGAACACUGGAAUGGAAAAUAUAUCCUUUGGCUCUGGGUUGGACCACUUUGGAUCUUCUUCAAAGCUCUUAUCACAGGUUUUCAAAGAAUCAAAUUCAGAAUCCUUUAAUGGCUCCUUUGGCUCAGAUUUCAGAUGACUUAAAGACUUUUCAUCAUUAAUAUCUUGCUAGUAAAUAUGAAAGAUAAUUACUUUAUUUUCAAUAUUACUGCUGCUUCCAAAAUCUACCUGCCUAUACAUUUUGGGGCGAAGUUUUUGCUACAUUGUUUUGCAUAAUACAAAUGCAACAUUAUUUUACAGCUUUAUCCAUCAUGAUCCCAGGUCUUCCCAUCCUGCUACACUAGUUCCAGCCAAUGAACAUCCACUGAGCCCUUAUUCUGAAAUGUCUACAAGACAGGUCUGUGAAUACAAAGAUGAAUGCAAUAGAUUCCAGCUCUAAUGGAACUAAAAUAUAUUGUGGGAAGACCUAGAAUCAGUUUUCCGAGUACAGCCAUUACAAAAAUAUGACCAAAAUAUGACUGACAGAAGAGGACAUCUGAGAAGAUGUAAUGAAGAAGGUAACAAAAGAUGAGUAGAAAUUCACAAGGAACGGGGUGUAGAGGUGUAGGUGUGUGUGUAGCAUAUGGGAGUCUUAAUAUGUCAAAGUACAGACUGGGGUGGGAUAGAAUUUUAAGCCCUUUCUCUUUUGCAGAAAAGAUUGUUCUUAUUUCAUCUCCAGGAUAAAACUAUGACUAACUGAAGACACUAACAGAGUGAUAGGAUAUUCUAAAAAUAGUAAAGGCUGAAUUCAAUUUACUAUUUAAGAAUGAAGAAAUGUAAUUCUUCUAAUCCAGUGUCAAUGACUAAGAAAAAUUCAGGCUUCAGAAAGUGUUGGGCAUACAAGCUUAAUUAAUUUUAACAUUUACUAGAAAUCUAAAAUCUUUAUAUUGUUUUGAACAUGCAGUAUGAAACAUCUGUACAUAUAUUUCAUAACAGGUUAAUCUCCCAGUAGUCAAAAUGCCCUUUAUUCUAACAAUUAGUAAAUGUCUACUUAAAAAAUCAUCUCUAUAAUUUUAUUUUCAAAGUCAGAUAUCUGGAACACACUAAAUAAUACCUUUACAUUUUAUCGAAAAAAAUAAAAAGACAUUGUAUCAAUAAAACAAAACAUUUUGGCCUUCAAGUUAAACACAUCCUGUAUUCUUAGCCCGGCACCUGUUGUCAUGAGGAAUAUAAGACUUGGAGGACAUGAUUUAUUUGCUCAAGAAACAUUAAGUUCUCACUAUGUGCUUCACUUGCCUUUUACAGACUGAGUAUCCCUUAUCCAAAAUGCUUGGGACCAAAAGUGUUUCAGAAUUUGGAUUUUGAAAUAUUUGCAUAUACAUGA